UUUUUUUCAUGUGUCAGCAUAUUUUUAAAAUGUUACCUUUUCAUCUUCAUAAAAAUCGAUCACUACAUAUAAGCGAACCAUUACUUUCAAUCUGUGCAUACAAUUGACUGUAGUUGAGGAGUACCUGUUAGUUUUAAAAUAAUUAUUGUUGAAUGUUAUAUGUGUGGUGGUUGUCUAAUCCCAGUGUAUAGGCUACAUGUGCCCAUGUGGCUCAGUUAUGUGAGAUCCAAGCCCCCCAUCAGGUCAGUCCCACCACAUACAUGUGUUGCCUGAAAAAUCAGGCUGGUCCACUCAUCGUGUGGGCCGCAACGUUGUGAACAAAUGCAUGGUUUAGCUUGGUCUGUGUGACAGCCAAUGACUCAAGGCCUUAUUUUCGGGCUGGGGCAUCUGCAUGGUGGGACCCACCUGAUGGGAGGUUUGGAUCUGAAUUGUACAAGUCUUGAAAUAGCAAACCUCUUAUGUGCAUAUAUGUUUACAUGUACAUGCAUUUGUAUAUGCAUAUAUUACCAUGCUGGUUGGAUGGUCCUGUGAAGAAUACGUUGGAAUUGCCAUCCUCUUGGCCUCCAUCCUGAAAUGUGCACCGCACACCAGCUAUGGGCGGCGGAACAUUAUGGCCUUUUCACUUGCCUAUUUUUCCUUUUCUUUGUCAUUG